GGGCAGAUGGCCGAGUGGUUAAGGCGCUAGAUUUAGGCUCUAGUAUCUCCGGAUGCGUGGGUUCAAGUCCCACUCUGCUCA